UUUCCCCUUCAUCGUUCAUAUAACCACUUCGAGAAAAAAAUCAGAAAAACCUAAUGCCUCUUCUUAUCGCCUCUUUUUAUCUGAUUAUCCUCUGCUUUCCCGAAUCUGAAAGUAGCUCCGCUCGAUUUCUUCCUUGACGCACUGCGAUGAGUCUCUCCGGCCACCGUCGGCCACGGUCCUCCGAGUCAGGUCCAGUAGAGCUGCAACGUAGAUGGAUUGGAUGCCACCAUGUGCCAUACCGCCAGGAGCCACACGUUCUACAAGCGCAGCAUCUUCACACGCCAACAACUACAUCCAGCAAACUCUCGAUGCAUUGCUGAGUGCUCCUGUAGGAGAAUCCCAGCCACACCUCCACCCGAGGAAACUCAAUGGAGCUUUAUGGUUAGUUUGGAGACAAACUUCAAGACGCUCAACACCAAUGUUGCAGAUUUGAAUACUAACAUGGGAACAGUUAUGAAAGAGCUGGUUGAAUCACGACAAGCACUUAACCCUCUGCUGCUGCUCAUGCUCCAGCUUCUACAAUAGCUGCUCCUGCUCAUGCUCCAGCUUCUACAAUAGCUGCUCCUGCUCCAGCUUCUACAAUACCAGCUCCUGCUCCAGCUUCACACCAAGGCAACUUAGAUGCUUGGUGUGCAUCAUUAGGUAUUUAAGUUUCGGUCAAUGAUGGUUAAGCUUUUUUGUUGAACUUUCUAACGGAUAGACUUUUAUUUAGCAAGUCUUUUGGUAAAAUGUAAGAUAAGACUACUUAAUGUUAUUUAGUAAGUCUUUUUUAUCAAACUAAUUAUAGUAAUGUAAAUAUCGUUAUUUGAAUUUCAUGUUUUGUGAUUUUGGCA